rnacentral:lncRNA from 1 species
UCCUUGGGGACUCAAUAUAUGAAUUGAAGUUCUCUUGGUUUCAGGGGACCGCUGGAUUUUGUGAAAAGGGUGGCGAGGCAAAUUCAAGGGGCUUUACCAGUCGUUGGAUUGCUGUCGAGGUUGAGCAGCCCGUCUGGUGGCAUCGGCAAUGACAUCAUGGUGGAGAUUUGCAGAACUCGUGUAGUCGCUAUAGCAGUGCUGCCUUAAAAGAUCUGCAUGCUCAUAACAAGAUAGACGUGCUUCAAGCUGGCUGAUAGUACGGUGUGUUGCAGUCGUACCCGGAAUUUUGCAGACAGCUCUUGUACGAGUCAGGCCUGCCUGAGUUUGUGGAGGCCACAG